AGUGAACGCUGGCGAUAGGCCUAACACAUGCAAGUCGAACGGCAGCACAGUAAGAGCUUGCUCUUACGGGUGGCGAGUGGCGGACGGGUGAGGAAUACAUCGGAAUCUACUUUUUCGUGGGGGAUAACGUAGGGAAACUUACGCUAAUACCGCAUACGACCUACGGGUGAAAGCAGGGGAUCUUCGGACCUUGCGCGAUUGAAUGAGCCGAUGUCGGAUUAGCUAGUUGGCGGGGUAAGGGCCCACCAAGGCGACGAUCCGUAGCUGGUCUGAGAGGAUGAUCAGCCACACUGGAACUGAGACACGGUCCAGACUCCUACGGGAGGCAGCAGUGGGGAAUAUUGGACAAUGGGCGCAAGCCUGAUCCAGCCAUACCGCGUGGGUGAAGAAGGCCUUCGGGUUGUAAAGCCCUUUUGUUGGGAAAGAAAAGCAGCAGGUUAAUACCCCGCUGUUCUGACGGUACCCAAAGAAUAAGCACCGGCUAACUUCGUG
rnacentral:rRNA from 1 species